rnacentral:hammerhead_ribozyme from 1 species
GUUGUUGACGAGUCCCAAAUAGGACGAAACGCGCGUCCUGGAU